rnacentral:rRNA from 1 species
AUACGUAGGGGGCGAGCGUUGUCCGGCAUGAUUGGGCGUAAAGGGCGCGUAGGCGGCGCGGUAAGUCUGGAGUGCAAGUCCUGCUUUCAAGGUGGGAAUUGCUUUGCAUACUGCCGCGCUUGAGUGCAGGAGAGGGUCUCGGCAUUCCCGGUGUCGCGGGGAAAUGCGUAGAGAUCGGGAGGAACACCAGUGGCGAAGGCGGGUAACUGGACUGCAACUGACGCUGAGGCGCGAAAGUGUGGGGAGCAAACAGGAUUAGAUACCCUGGUAGUCCACACUGUAAACGAUGAAGGCUAGGUGUAAGAGGUAUCGACCCCUUUUGUGCCGGAGUCAACACAAUAAGCAUUCCGCCUGGGGAGUACGGCCGCAAGGUUGAAACUCAAAUGAAUUGACGGGG